rnacentral:rRNA from 1 species
UACGGAGGGUGCAAGCGUUAUCCGGAUUCACUGGGUUUAAAGGGUGCGUAGGAGGGCAGGUAAGUCAGUGGUGAAAUCUCCAAGCUUAACUUGGAAACUGCCGUUGAUACUAUCUGUCUUGAAUACCGUGGAGGUGAGCGGAAUAUGUCAUGUAGCGGUGAAAUGCUUAGAUAUGACAUAGAACACCGAUAGCGAAGGCAGCUUGCUACACAAUCAUUGACACUGAGGCACGAAAGCGUGGGGAUCAAACAGG